UACGUAGGCAGCAAGCGUUGUUCGGAAUCACUGGGCGUAAAGGGUGCGUAGGCGGGUUUUUAAGUCAGAGGUGAAAUCCUGGAGCUCAACUCCAGAACUGCCUUUGAUACUGAAGAUCUUGAGUCCGGGAGAGGUGAGUGGAACUGCGAGUGUAGAGGUGAAAUUCGUAGAUAUUCGCAAGAACACCAGUGGCGAAGGCGGCUCACUGGCCCGGUACUGACGCUGAGGCACGAAAGCGUGGGGAGCAAACAGG
rnacentral:rRNA from 1 species